UACGUAGGGUGCAAGCGUUGUCCGGAAUUAUUGGGCGUAAAGAGCUCGUAGGCGGUCUGUCGCGUCUGCUGUGAAAACCUGGGGCUUAACCCCGGGCCUGCAGUGGGUACGGGCAGACUAGAGUGUGGUAGGGGAGACUGGAAUUCCUGGUGUAGCGGUGAAAUGCGCAGAUAUCAGGAGGAACACCGAUUGCGAAGGCAGCUCGCUGGGACGUAACUGACGCUGAGACGCGAAAGCGUGGGGAGCAAACAGG
rnacentral:rRNA from 1 species